rnacentral:rRNA from 1 species
UGACUGACCGAUAGUGAACCAGUACCGUGAGGGAAAGGCGAAAAGAACCCCGGCGAGGGGAGUGAAAAAGAACCUGAAACCGUGUACGUACAAGCAGUGGGAGCCUCUUUAUGGGGUGACUGCGUACCUUUUGUAUAAUGGGUCAGCGACUUAUAUUCUGUAGCAAGGUUAACCGAAUAGGGGAGCCGAAGGGAAACCGAGUCUUAACUGGGCGUUAAGUUGCAGGGUAUAGACCCGAAACCCGGUGAUCUAGCCAUGGGCAGGUUGAAGGUUGGGUAACACUAACUGGAGGACCGAACCGACUAAUGUUGAAAAAUUAGCGGAUGACUUGUGGCUGGGGGUGAAAGGCCAAUCAAACCGGGAGAUAGCUGGUUCUCCCCGAAAGCUAUUUAGGUAGCGCCUCGUGAACUCAUCUCCGGGGGUAGAGCACUGUUUCGGCAAGGGGGUCAUCCCGACUUACCAACCCGAUGCAAACUGCGAAUACCGGAGAAUGUUAUCACGGGAGACACACGGCGGGUGCUAACGUCCGUCGUGAAGAGGGAAACAACCCAGACCGCCAGCUAAGGUCCCAAAGUCAUGGUUAAGUGGGAAACGAUGUGGGAAGGCCCAGACAGCCAGGAUGUUGGCUUAGAAGCAGCCAUCAUUUAAAGAAAGCGUAAUAGCUCACUGGUCGAGUCGGCCUGCGCGGAAGAUGUAACGGGGCUAAACCAUGCACCGAAGCUGCGGCAGCGACACUAUGUGUUGUUGGGUAGGGGAGCGUUCUGUAAGCCUGCGAAGGUGUGCUGUGAGGCAUGCUGGAGGUAUCAGAAGUGCGAAUGCUGACAUAAGUAACGAUAAAGCGGGUGAAAAGCCCGCUCGCCGGAAGACCAAGGGUUCCUGUCCAACGUUAAUCGGGGCAGGGUGAGUCGACCCCUAAGGCGAGGCCGAAAGGCGUAGUCGAUGGGAAACAGGUUAAUAUUCCUGUACUUGGUGUUACUGCGAAGGGGGGACGGAGAAGGCUAUGUUGGCCGGGCGACGGUUGUCCCGGUUUAAGCGUGUAGGCUGGUUUUCCAGGCAAAUCCGGAAAAUCAAGGCUGAGGCGUGAUGACGAGGCACUACGGUGCUGAAGCAACAAAUGCCCUGCUUCCAGGAA